rfam:Oryza sativa Japonica Group DNA, chromosome 6, cultivar: Nipponbare, complete sequence.
UUUAAACGCAACCAUAAGUUUACGUGUCUAAUUUUAAUCGUUCAUCUUAUUUAAAUUUUUAUGAUUAGUAUUUUUAUUGUUAUUAGAUGAUAAAAUAUGAAUAAUACUUUAUGCGUGACUUGUAUUUUUUUUAGAAAGAUUUUCAAAUAAGAUGGAUGAUUAAAGUUUGAUACGAAAACUCAUGGUUGCACUUCAA